UUGCACAAUUCAUUGUCAUGCUCUUCAAUAUUAAGAGUAUUGAUAUUUCUUCUGUGCUAUAAAAAGCUGGAGGUAAAUUAGCAGAGUGACCACAUGGUGUCAUCUCUGCCAGUCCCCUUCAGACAAUC